AACGCGAAGAACCUUACCUGGUCUUGACAUCCACAGAACUUUCCAGAGAUGGAUUGGUGCCUUCGGGAACUGUGAGACAGGUGCUGCAUGGCUGUCGUCAGCUCGUGUUGUGAAAUGUUGGGUUAAGUCCCGCAACGAGCGCAACCCUUAUCCUUUGUUGCCAGCGGUUAGGCCGGGAACUCAAAGGAGACUGCCAGUGAUAAACUGGAGGAAGGUGGGGAUGACGUCAAGUCAUCAUGGCCCUUACGAGUAGGGCUACACACGUGCUACAAUGGCAUAUACAAAGAGAAGCGACCUCGCGAGAGCAAGCGGACCUCAUAAAGUAUGUCGUAGUCCGGAUUGGAGUCUGCAACUCGACUCCAUGAAGUCGGAAUCGCUAGUAAUCGUGGAUCAGAAUGCCACGGUGAAUACGUUCCCGGGUCUUGUACACACCG
rnacentral:rRNA from 1 species